GUGCUCACUUCAGAAGCACAGAUACUAAAAGUGGAAUGAUACAGAGAAGAUUAGUAUGGUCCCUGUCAAGGAUGACACACGAAUUCAUAAAGCCUUCCAUAUUAUU
ensembl:snRNA U6 U6 spliceosomal RNA